ensembl:lncRNA
CAACCCUGCACCUUAACCCUGCACCUAGCCUCAACCCUGCACCUAGCCUCAACCUAGGCCUGGUAACAGGUAACUCAUGACAAUAUCUGUGUGUAGGAUGGGUUGCAUUUAUGCAACAACAAACAAACAGUUUCAAAGUGCUUUGCUGAUGUUGUAUCAUGUCUGCGUUGUGGAGGUUGUAGUGAUGUCUGUGUUGUGGAGGUUGUAGUGAUGUUGUAUCAUGUCUGUGUUGUGGAGGUUGUAGUGAUGUUGUAUCAUGUCUGUGUUGUGGAGGUUGUAGUGAUGUUGUAUCAUGUCUGUGUUGUGGAGGUUGUAGUGAUGUUGUAUCAUGUCUGCGUUGUGGAGGUUGUAGUGAUGUUGUAUCAUGUCUGUGUUGUGGAGGUUGUAGUGAUGUUGUAUCAUGUCUGUUGUGGAGGUUGUAGUGAUGUUGUAUCAUGUCUGUGUUGUGGAGGUUGUAGUGAUGUUGUAUCAUGUCUGUGUUAUUUAGGUUGGGGGUGUUGUUCACUCCUCUGCUUCCUGCUGUACAGAUCAUCAAACUACUG